CCGUACCAUGCUGAAUAUACCGGUUCUCGUUAGAUCACCGAAGUCAAGCAUCAUUGGGCGCGGUCAGUACUUGGGUGGGUGACCACCUGGGAACACCGCGUGCCGUU